rnacentral:rRNA from 1 species
UACGUAGGGGGCGAGCGUUGUCCGAAGUUACUGGGCGUAAAGCGCGCGUAGGCGGUCAUUUAAGUUCGGGGUGAAAGGUUCAGCGCUCAACGCGAACAGUGCCUUGAAUACUGGGUGACUUGAGUUCGGGAGAGGGCAGUGGAAUUCCUGGUGUAGCGGUGAAAUGCGUAGAUAUCAGGAGGAACACCGAUGGCGAAGGCAGCUGCCUGGCCUAGAACUGACGCUGAGGUGCGAAAGCUAGGGGAGCAAACGGG